rnacentral:lncRNA from 1 species
UGACAGUCCUCCCUGCACUCACUGUGCUAGCAAAGAUGUCCGGGAAGGACAGAAAAGAAUGUAAUGUGCAAUUAAAACAAGGGAGAGUGAUUAAUGGAGGCAAAAAUUAAUCACAAGGGCAGUGUCAAAGUUUGGUGGGACAACUGCAUGUUCAGAAGACACCUGAAAAAGGUGAAAUGAAGAACCAAGGAUCAUCUGAGCAAAGACUCAAGGACCAUUUGAACAAAGACAUCCACUUCUAUACCACAGAUGACUUGGCAUCUAUGGAGGAGUGGAGGUGAGCACCACUCUACCAUGUAGAGGAAGCGGCCACCGUGGAGGCUGGGCUUGUGGAGAUUCCUUCUGGAUGCCCUCAGAUCUGUCAUUAAUGGGGACAAAGCAGUAUCAACGGACUGCUCUAUCUCAUCUACCACUACCAGCUCCACCAUCCAGGGUACUGUUCUUGCCACUACAUCUACAAAGAAGAGGAAUGCAAUCUUGCAGUUAGAAAAGGCUGUCUCGCUGAACAUUUAUUCUCAUUCCUCUACCCAAAACUAAUGAAAAUGUGAAGUCUGAG